rnacentral:lncRNA from 1 species
AAGCACUCUAGAACAUAUAAAUGAGGAAAAAGACUUGGUGAUUCAAAUUGGAUUGAAGAGAUGUCACCCCUACAGAAGAAAUGACCAGAGCUUGAGAGUCUUCCUAUGGCUAUGACUAAGUCCAACAAGAGCUAGCUUCAUAUCUUCUGCUGAUUCAGAAUACAUACUUGGACAUUGAUUUUAUUUCUGAACUUCUUCUUGCUUCUUACUCGUCAAGAUAAAGUUCUCCACAGGGACAGAACCAAUGGGAUAUAUGUAUAUAUUAAAGGGAGAUUAUUAGUGAGAAUUGGCUCAUGUGAUUACAAGGUGAAGUCCCAUAAUAGACUGUCUGCAAGUUGGGGAAAGAAAAGAGUGGCUCACUCCAAGUCCAAAUGCCUCAAAACCAGGGAAGCCAACAGCACAACCUUUAGUCUGCUGCUGAAGGCCCAAGAGCCUAGGGAAGCCACCGGUGCAAGUCGCAGAGUCCAAAGACUGAAGAACCUGGAGUCUGAUGUUCAAGGGCAGGAGAAGUGGAAGCAAGCAUCCACCAUGGGAAAAGGAAGGAAGCCAGGAGACUUGGCAAGCAAUACUAUCCCAUCUUCUUCCACCUGCUCUGCUGGCUGGCGACCCAUUGGAUGAUGCCCACCCACUUUGAGGGUGGGUCUUCUUCUCCCAGUGCACCACCUCAAAUGUCAAUAUUCUCCGGCAAUGGUCUCACAAACACACCCAGAAACAACACAUUACCAACCAUCUAGGCAUCCCUCAGUUCAAUCAAGUUGACACUUAAUAUUAAACAUCACACCAAUUUACCUGAUAUUUGUAAGCCUACUUUUCGGAAUACUUAUUUUGUUCUCUUGAGCUAUGUAAUUAUUUUUAAGCCAACACCUCAUUAUUUUGAUAUCUGAAACUUUAUAGUAAAUAAAAUCAGUUAAUAUAAGGCCUGAUAUCUUUGUUUUCUUUUUGAAAUUUCAUAUCAUUUUGGCUAUUCCAGGUUGUUUGCUUUUCUAAAUUAAUUUUUAGAUUUAGCUUUUCAACUUUUAUUUAUUCAGAAACUGCUACUUUCUUGAUGAGGAUGACUUUGAAUCUGCAGAUAAAUUUUGGAUAAUUGACAUAUUAACAAUAUUGAAUCUCUUGACCAUAAACGUGAUUAUAUCUCCAUUAUUUUAGGUCUUUCUUAACUUUUUUCAGCUUAUUUUAUAGUUUUUAGUAUUCUAUGGCGGUUUCGUAAAGGCUAUAUUAUCUUGUGCUCAUUCAAAUACUUAUCUAAUAUUACUCUCCACUUACAGUCACUAUUUUCCAAAGAAAACACUGUUUCUCUGAUUCUUUUAAAUAUUGUGAUUUUUUUGGGGGGUCCAUGGGAAGGAGUUAGUACCCCUAUGGGCAGGGGAUGGUGAUGAGAAAAGGCAUGAUGUAGAAGACAUGUUGAAAAUAGUGCUGAUAAGAUUUAGUGAUGGAUAGGGUCUAUAAAUUAGCAAAGAAUAAAGAUUUUGUUUUAAGGAACUGUUCAUUGUUUACUGAGAUGGAUGCCUUUUAUAUGCCAGUCAGGCUGUUGUAACAGAUAAACUUUUCUAGCUAUUUUAAAACAUGAACUGAUUUGAAACGGGGAAGUGUGUGCUUGUGGGCUGCAGGCUAAGCUUUGGGGAUUGACUCUUUUGAACUCUGUGCUACAGCAGGAAUUAGAGAAGCCACUGUCCCCACUGCUGGCUCUGUUUUCAGGAUUACCCCACCUUAGCUUAAUCUGAAUGUCAGAAAAUGUGUGCCAAAACUGUCAACUCUGGGGACAUACUGUGCCUGCUAGAUUUGCACCAACAAAACGUGAGAAGUCUGCCAUAGCCUUUUCCCCUGGUUAACUCAGUUUUCAAUUCAUGACUUGUGCAAGAAUUACUGAGUGUCACUACUUAUACCACUCCCAGAACCCUAUCUCAGGGCAGUCUGGGAAAUGCAGCUUUUAACUUACCAACUUUUGCACUAUAAGCUUACAUAUUACACUGUCUUCAAAAGAGAUUUAGCUGGUGUCUUAGUCUGUUUGUGUGGCUAUAAAGGAGUACCUGAGGCUGAGUAACUUACAAAGAAAAGAGCUUUAUUCGGCUCAUGGUUCUGCAGGCUGUACAGGAAGCAAAGCACCAACAUCUGCUUCUGAUGAGGGUCUGAAGCUACUUCCACUCAUAGUAGAAGCAAAGGGGACCAGUGUGUGGAGAUCACAUUGGGAGAGAAGCAGCAGAGAGGGUGGGUGAGGUGCCAGGCUGUUUUUAACAACCAUUUCUCACAGGAGCUAAUAGAGCGAGAACGUACUCUUUACUGCAAGGACAGCAGGAUGCCAUUCAUGAGAGAUCCAAGACCCCCAUGACCCAAAAAUCUCCCAUUAGGCCCCACCUUCAACACUGAGGAUCACAUUUUAAAAUGAGAUUUUGGGGGAUCAAACAAACCAUAUCCAAACUGCACAGCAGCUGGGCUCCAAGUGGGAGAAGUCAGUAUGCAUAGAAUUUGCUAAACUGCUUCACAUCAACUUUGAUACCAGAAAAAUUCUUCACUGAUAUGUGAAGACAGUUUGUCUAGUAGCAGAAUUCCUGGAAAUAAAAUGCCAUUGAAUUUUUUGAGUGUAAUCCCAUCCUCCAAAUACCUAGUUAUUGCAGAGAGCUCUUCUGGAUCAAGAAAAUGAGAUUAAUGUGGUGUCCCAGUUGGUAUUGACUCAUUUACUAAGCUUAGUGAAGUUUAACUCACCUGGGGCAAAUGUCAAGGCCAUUUCAUUUGAGAAGCUUUUUGAAAGGCCUUUUGAGUUGAGGGAAUUAUAUUUUUUUCAGAAAUGAGCUGUUUAUUAUUCCAAAUCUGUCAAUACAAUGGAUCCUAUGAAUUACUAUUAGAACGUGCCCAUUUCUUAUUUCUUGCUAAACUUAUAAGAAAUUUUUCAACAUUCACACCUUUCAGAAUUACUGCUUUCUAAAUGGACAAUGGAUGCUUUUUCUAUUCUUUUAAAUCUUUCAGUUCUGCCAUGAUCUAGGUGUUUAUGUUUGGGAAAGUUAUUUUUUCUCUUUCAGUCUUGUUUUCCUCAUGGAAGAAGCACCAUCCAUCUCAUAGGAUAAUUGCAAGAACUAAGUGAGAUGUUAUAUAAACAAUGUACACAAUAAGUGUUUGUUUCCUAUUCCUUUCUCUCUCCCUUUCUUGCUUUUCCUCUCCUCCCGACUUCUUCUAUAAAUUUUGAUCAGGCUUUUCCUGUAUCUGCUAGUGCUAUCUUUCCUCUUUAGAAUCAGGAGGAGUGGGAUUUCUUAUACUGAGUCCAGACAGCAUCUUUUCUCCUUUCUUAAAGGAUAGAGAAGGUGACCUGCUUCCUAAUAUCUGAUUUAAGAUGCUGAUCCUCAAAGAAACUCUGAAAAAGCAAUUUCAAUUUCUUAUGCUGAGUUUCAGAGGUUGGUUGCAUGCCUAUUUUUGUUAGUUUGUAAAAGGAGGUAAGACUCUGAACAGAUUGAGAAUUAGAGGUUCUGAAGGCUUUAAAAAGGAAAAAAACUCUUAUUUUUGUAGGGGAGUUAAAAGCUGAUUUUAAAACUUAAAAUAAGCCUCAUAUUUCUGGG